rnacentral:rRNA from 1 species
GACGAACGCUGGCGGCGUGCUUAACACAUGCAAGUCGAACGGAAAGGCCCUGCUUUUGUGGGGUGCUCGAGUGGCGAACGGGGGAGUAACACGUGAGUAACCUGCCCUUGACUUUGGGAUAACUUCAGGAAACUGGGGCUAAUACCGGAUAGGAGCUCCUGCUGCAUGGGGGGGGUUGGAAAGUUUCGGCGGUUGGGGAUGGACUCGCGGCUUAUCAGCUUGUUGGUGGGGUAGUGGCUUACCAAGGCUUUGACGGGUAGCCGGCCUGGGAGGGUGACCGGCCACCUUGGGACUGGGGUACGGCCCAGACUCCUACGGGAGGCAGCAGUGGGGAAUAUUGCACAAUGGGCGGAAGCCUGAUGCAGCAACGCCGCGUGCGGGAUGACGGCCUUCUGGUUGUAAACCGCUUUCGCCUGUGACGAAGCGUGAGUGACGGUAAUGGGUAAAGAAGCACCGGCUAACUACGUG